AGUGAAUAAGUGAGUCUAGCGCUUUCUUGAAGAUUGCCAGACUGUCACUUAUAACGGGGUCCAACUCGCAACGGUGCCAGAUUAUCGUACUCAGAGCCUCGUAUUUACCGGUUUCUGAGUCACAACUAUUGCCAAAAAUCACCAAUAAUUAAUCAUUUUAACGCUAACUAUAUAUGAAGGCAGUUAUUGGGGUCGAGGAUGCAGUUUUUGGGUCGGAAAUCGGCAAACUUGGGAGGCUGAGUACGACAACCUGGUAACGGUGGGUCCAAGUCACCUUUGACAUCAAGAUCAAGAACCAGCUGCAAGGUAAACAUGGCACUAUUUGAAAGGUCUUUUCACCCUAGGCGGGACGUAUUGAACAGUUUAAGUGACGCAGAACUUGUUAAAAGAUACAGACUGAACAGGAAAGGAAUUGUUUGUGUUACCGAUUUAGUAAGAAAUGAAUUAACGUCCCCAAUAUCAAGAAACAAGGCCGUCUCUCCGGGGGUACAGUGGUUAUCCUAGUCAGAGGUGGCUGAUGACUCCACACCUGCGCCCUCUGCCAUGCCCACAAACUAACUACAAUAGUGCACACAAGAGGACCAGAUGCACAGUGUAGAGGGUCAUCGGCCAGUGGAAGCGACGAUUCCACAUACUUCAUGGGGAAAUAAGGCUUAAGUCCCCUGCAUAUGUGUGCUUUGCUGCACAACAUAUGCAAGGAAAGGAACAUCGGUUUACCUGAGGAAGAGGAUCCUGCAGGUGACUAGGCUGGUGAGGGUGCACAGCCUCUAUCUGUUGUGCAGAUAGCACCUGCUGCUGGACUGAAGCAGCGGGAUGGUCUGCACUACAGGGAUGCACAGCUCAAUCUUCACUUCAAAGAGUGGUCAUCUGGGAGGCUUGUGGGUACUUUCAAGCUACUCGGCAAUGACGAGAUAUUCAGGUGGAAGUGCUGGGAUCGAACUCACUACUACCCAGAUGUCACGCUAGCACAAUGACCUCUUGGCCACCGCCUCACCAUAAAGUAUAAACCCCAUCAUUUUAACAUUCAUAAGAAACUAGUAUUAGAAUACAACAUUAAUUUGCCUAUACUUUUCAGUGCUGGUCCUCACCCUGUCCCUGCCCAACCCUAACCAUCCCCAUGAGGGAAGCUUCCACACAUGUAAGUUGUAAAACCCACCUCUUCAUAACAUUAAUCUGCUGGCUAUUUCUCCAGACUUACUUCAGAGAGAUAGAAAGAGAACUAUGAUCAUGAAUCAUUAACUUUAACCCUAGCUUUAGAAAUUAUGUAAUUGAUAAACUAAUUCCCACAAAUUUUCCCUGCUUAUGU